rnacentral:lncRNA from 10 species
UUUGCCUGCUGUUAUCCACAUAAGAUGUGACUUGCUUCUCCUUGCCUUCAGUCAUGAUUGUGAGGCUUCCCCAGCCACGUGGAACUGUCUGGAGGCAUAGGAAGAAAAAGUGGUUUCAUGGGCCAGGUCCAGCUUCCCUGAGCUGUGUGCAGCCAAGAGACUUGAUGCCCUGCGUUCCAGCUGCUCCAGCCAUGGCUGAAAGGGCCAACGUAGAGUUCAGACCAUGUCUUCAGAUGGUGCGAGCCCCAAGCCUUGGCAGCUUCCAUGUGGUGUUGAGCCUGUAGGUGCACAGAAGUCAAGAAUUGAGGUUUUGGAACAUCUACCUAGAUUUCAGAAGAUGUAUGGAAAUGCCUGGAUGCCCAGGUAGCAGUUUGCUGCAGGGGUGGGGCUCUCAUGGAGAACCUCUGCUAGGGCAGUGCAGAAGGAAAAUGUGGGGUCAGAGCCCCCACACAGAGUCCCUACUGGGGCACUGCCUAGUGGAGCUGUGAGAAAAGGGCCACUGUCCCCCAGACAGUGAAGCUGUCAUAAUCCACCGACAGCUUGCACUGUGCACCUGGAAAAGCCGCAGACACUCAACACCAGCCCAUGAAAGUGACUGGGAGGGAGGCUGUACCCUGCAAAGCCACAGGGGCAGAGCUUCCCAAGACUAUGGGAACCUACCUUUUCAUCAAUGUGACCUGGAUGUGAGACAUGGAGUCAAAGGAGAUAACUUUGGAGCUCUGAGAUUUGACUGCCUCUCUGGAUUUCUGAUUUGCGUGGGGCCUGUAGCGCUUUUGUUUUGGCCAAUUUCUCCCACUUGGAAUGGCUCUAUUUACCCAAUGUCUGUAUCCCCAUUGUAUCUAGGAAAUAACUAGCUUCCUUUGAUUUUACAGGCUCAUGGGCGGAAGGGACUUGCCUUGCCUCAGAUGAGACUUUGGACUGUGGACUUUUGAGUUAAUGCUGAAAUGAGUUAAGACUUUGGGGGACUGUUGGGAAGACAUGAUUGGUUUUGAAAUGUGAGGACAUGAGAUUUGGCAGGAACCAGGGGUGGAAUGAUAUGGUUUAGCUCUGUGUCCCCACCCAAAUCUCAUCUUGAAUUGUACUCCCAUAAUGCCCACGUGUUGUGGGAGGGACCUGGUGGGAGAUAAUUGAAUCAUGGAGGCAGUUUUACCCAUACUGUUCUCAUGGUAGUGAAUAAGUCUCAUGAGAUCUUAUGGUUUUAUCAAGGGUUUUUGCUUUUGCAACUUCCUCAUUUUCUCUUUGCCUGCUGCCAUCCACGUAAGAUGUGACUUGCUCCUCUUUGCCUUCCAUCAUGAUUGUGAGGCUUCUCCAGCCAUGUGGAACUGUAAGUCCAAUUAAACCUCUUUCUUUUGUAAAUUGCCCAGUCUCAGGUAUAUCUUUAUCAGCAGCAUGAAAAUCAAUGAAUACACUCCGCAUGCAAAUUGCAUCCUAAAAGUGCAAUUCAUUUGCUAUUCCCUGGGAACAGCCCAUGUCACCACGUCUGGUUGCCUCCUUUUCUUUCAUCUCCUACCUUUCUUGGUCCUACUAAUCACUCGAGACCCUGCUCAAGUCUCACCAUCUCCAUCAGAACAUCCCUGCUCCUUCCAGGGGGAAGGAAACUUUCUGCCCCUGCUCUUUUGCUGUGUAUCAGAAAGCUAUUUACAUAUCUGUCAAGGCCACCUUUUCAUCAUGACUAGUGAUCUACAUCAGUCUCCCUCAUGAGACUGCAAGAUCCUAAAGGGAAAGUCUCCUAUAUUCUGGACACACUGCCAUACUCACAUGCCCACACCCACACCCACGCUUGUGCUUGGCACUGGGCUUAUGUGUUUUUGAUGGAAGGAAUCUUGGGAGCUGUGGGAAGGAAUGAGGACUUGACUCUCAUUUUGCGCCCUCCCCCCACUUCACAUACCCUCACUAGCUUUCUCCUUCUUCUCAUGCUUCCUGUCUGCUCCUGGCUUUUCAGUGGUUUGUUAUAAAUAUGGUCACUCUUCUUAUCCACAUUGGGAUAGAUUUAAGAUCGAACUUUGGCUUUUAAAAGCAUAUGCCUAAGACACUGAGCUUGUAAAUCUACCCUGGUUAAACAUGUGACAAGUGUUGUAAAGCAAAUGUGACUGUAUUUCCUUUUAGAAACUGAUGUUCCUCAUAAAUGUCAGAACUGAAAUAUUUUAGGGAGUUAUAUUUUUACAAGAACUUUUAGAAAAGUGUUGAUUAUUAGCCACAUUAGUCAAAGGUGCAUAGGCUCAAACAUCAUUUGCCUAUCCAAAGGGGGAG